UAGAAGACUGGGGGUAAGAGGGAGGGAGGAAGUAGCGGCUGGAAUCCUAUAGCAGCUUUCACUCUCUCUUCUGACCCUCUCCCUGAGUAUAGUCCUGCUGCUAUCCCUCAAGGGAGUGCGGGGGCUGCAAGGCAAAGGUGCCCUCAGGAGAGGCUUUGCAGUCUGCCCUGGGCAGGAGAGGGCUGCUGUGAGCUGGGGCCCCCUAUAGACAACAGACAUUUCUGGCCUGCAUCCAGCAACCAGGCACCAUGAGAUAAAAUUUGGGGACUGCUUUUUCUUCCUAAACCAUGUCUGCUAAAAUCUAUUACACAUAAAUCUGGGUGUGGUUUUUUAUUCCAGAGACUAGGAGUUUUGCAUGUGGGACAAAAGCUUGAAGAACAAGAUGAAUUUGAGAAGAUUUACAAAAAUGCCUGGGCUGACAACGCAAAUGCUUGUGCCAAGCAAUAUGCGGGAACUGGUGCCUUGAAGACUGACUUUACCAGAACUGGAAAGAGAACUCAUUUGGGACUUAUAAUGGAUGGCUGGAACUCAAUG
rnacentral:lncRNA from 1 species